rnacentral:misc_RNA from 1 species
AUCUCGCAGCCCGACUUGAGCGGAGCUCUUUUUGUGAAACAAAAAAGCGGGAGCGGAAGGCGGAAAAGCUG